rnacentral:rRNA from 1 species
GACGUAGGGCGCGAGCGUUGUCCGGAUUUAUUGGGCGUAAAGAGCUCGUAGGCGGCUUGUUGCGUCGACUGUGAAAACCUGCGGCUCAACCGUGUGGUCUGCAGUCGAUACGGGCAGGCUGGAGUUCGGUAGGGGAGACUGGAAUUCCUGGUGUAGCGGUGAAAUGCGUAGAUAUCUGGAGGAACACCGGUGGCGAAGGCGACAUCCUGGACCGGUAUUGACGCUGAGGCGCGAAAGCCAGGGGAGCAAACGGG